CCUAGACCCCAUUUAAGAGCUGACCACCACUGGGGAAGGAUCUCUUUUGGGGAUCGCUCCUCUUGGAAUCUUCUCAGUGAGCCCAGGACAGGGCAGGUUACCAGCUACCUUUUAAUAACACAUACCUAUCAAAUGGAUGCACCACAGACACAUGGAACUGAAUGGAGGAAAAAACUUUUCUGAAGAUCAUCCAGCAAGAUGAGGCAGAAGAUGACAGCACUGCAGUAUUCCAGUAGCUUCUGUUACUGAAAAGACAGAUAAUUCUUAAUAUUCUGCUUUCUACCUCAGAUGGGUACUACAGUUGAGUUCAAUGAGUCAGGAUGCUUUUUUCACACUGCCUCAACAAUGACGACAUUAUCUGUCUGCAGGCUCUCACCCAGGCCUUACUGAGGAAAAAAAAAAUCAUAUCCCACUUUAUUUCCUUCUCAGAAACAUUCUGAACUUUCAAGAAGUUUUCAGGUCUUUCCUAACUUGCUGUUGGCCAUCUUUAAUUCCUGAAGUGCUCUCAUUAAUUGCUUCAUUUUGGUUUAAGAGAACUUCAGAAAUUCAGCAAUUUAGAAGAAAUGGAUGGGAAAAGUAGGCAGCUCUCAGAUACAGUCCCAUUUGUGAGAUUUAGAGUGUGUUUCUAUAUAAGCUGUAUUUUGUUUUUCUGUACUUCGUGUUUUUGUUUCUUGUUUGUAGCAUAGACAGACAGAUAGACAGCUGAAGCCAUUAGUCCCCAGAUUAUGUGUUUAUUUUCAGGAAAUUCUAAGAACUGCAAAUACCAACUACUGCAUGACCUUACAAAAGUUGAUUGUUAAAGAAUGUUUUCAUGGCUAAAUUGUGUGUAGUACCAUUUCCAGUAGUAGCCUAACACUAAAGCAUCUGCUAUAAUGAAUAGCUCUGAAGUGGUGCAAUUGAUUUCAAUGUCAAGAAAUAAUGGGUGAAUGAAUUCGUUAAUAAUAUACAAGUAUUUGUCCACAGGUGAAGUUAAGCAUGGAGCUUGAUAACUUGUAAAUGAGUUGCAAGACUUGCUGUGAAACUCAAGAUGCAAGAUGGAAGGCAAGUGCAGCACAUUUUGUUACUGCUUUCAAAAAAGCAGAAGAAUCUAGAACUAUUAAUGUGGGGGCUGUUGUUACACCAGAAUUAGUUCAGGCUCUCUGCUGGGCUAUUGGUAAUGCAGCACUAAGUUCUAGCCUUAUCUCUGCUCCGUUGUGCAGGUAUUUCUAUGUAUGUGAUUCUUAAAUCCAUUUAGUGAAACCCAGCAAUACAUUCAGGGUGAUUUUUGACCUCAGUUUUUAAUUAAACUUUUAAAUCAUGGAAUAUAGAUAAAGUCUUUAUUGCAGUUGGUGGUACAUCAUUUCUGUACCCAGGCUGUUACCUGCUUCAUGACAGGGCCAUUGCUAACUUUAAUUAUUUUGGUCAUUUUUCCCCUUCUAUAAACAAAGACAGAUAGUAAAGUCACGGCAGAGCUGUAAUGUUCAGAAAUCCAACUUCAACCUUUUAUCUCUAUUAGCUCUUGCUCACCUUUUUUACAGUUUAAUUUUACUGUAGCUGAUGUACCAGUGCAGAGCUGUGUGAAAAAGAUUUUUUUAAAGUGUCUAAUAAAAUCUUCUUUUCAGAUAAUGCAGAGGUUUCCAGGCUCUCGUUGAGAGAUCAUAUCUAAUAAUUUCCUCAGGACACAGUGGCUCACAGGUGCUAAUAGGAAGAGCUGUAGCUCUUAAAGUUUGAUUCAGUAAAGACUGUGGUCCACAAGGCAUGGUCAGUGCCUUGCAGAAAUCAAACAAAGCAGCAGUAGAUGUAAAGGUCCUGAGCAGAAGCUGGCAGAGUGGCACCCGGAGAUCUCUUGCAACAUAAAUUAUUUUAUGUGCAAAAAUAUAGAAAUGUAACAGUAAUGCUGUGUGGGAUGAUUGAUCAGGGCAAGCCUGAUCUAUGUGGAGCAGCACCAAUAGUGAAGAUGUGGGAACUAUAGAAGAGUAGCAAAGGAAAGUUCAGAUUAUUUUUCUGCCUUUACAAGCAUCAGAGGAGAGAGAAUCAUAGGGAUGAGAGGCUGUAUAGCUGACUGGUGGGAAAGAGAAGAUUUUGAUUUUCUGGAGCACUGAACUUUGCGAUAGUUUACUGGUGCCAUUUGUCCAGAACAUCUUGUGGGAAGGGAGCUAAUUUUCUCAGCUAGAGACUAGCUUGGAUAAGCAGGAAAUAGCAAUGUGAAACAGAGGUGUAAAAAUAGCCGAAGUAGUAACCCUGCUCAGGAAAUACAGAGCAAGAAAAUUAUGUAUUGAAGAUACAAUUGAUAACAGAACUACAACAUCUUGAAUGCGUAUGAAUCAAUGUACUUACUCAAAUGUUCAGGAGACUUUAGAUCUGCACCAGAAGACUGUCUGAGUGCCUAUGUGCAUGCUUACUUCUAUAAUGUAUGGAAGGAACAACUGUACCAUAGGUGACAUCAGCCCAGGAGGAGCAGACAGGAAAAGGCAGUCCUGUAAAAUAUUAGAGUUCCAAAAACUAAAAAAUUUUUCUUUAAGUAAAAAGGUAAAGCUCAACUUGUUUGAAAAUACUACUUUAUGAGCUUUUAUGAUGUAGAGACUUCAGCAUUUUGAUAAAGCACUAUUUUGUGACAUGAUGAAAAGGCACAAUACUUAUUCUCCUGAGAAUUCAAGCAAAGCAGAAAAAAUAAAAUUUGUGUUUUGGCUGCUCCAAGUGUAAUGCCUCCUGUUUUAUUAUGUUGGUCCACAAGGUCAGUGACAGCUUUUGGCGAUGUAGCAGUAGAUGUUUAAUCUUCCCACCAGUAUAUCAUUCCAUGUUUUUGCUGGCAGCAGAGAGGCAGUCUGGCAAAAUGGCAUCUAACAUGGGAGUGCAAAUGAAGCAAAGAGGUGUAAAUGAAUUCAUCGAUGUGGGGAAAAAAUGGCACCCCCUGACACUCACACUUGCUGAAUGUUUAUGAAGACCAGAGAGUGAAUGUGAGUGCAAGGAAGGAUGGGUGCUGCAUUCCAGCAGUGCCAGUGACAGUGGACCACUUCCACUGGUGCAG